rnacentral:rRNA from 1 species
ACGGAAGGCAGCAGUGAGGAAUAUUGGUCAAUGGGCGGAAGCCUGAACCAGCCAAGUCGCGUGAAGGAUGAAGGUAUUAUGUAUUGUAAACUUCUUUAGACGUAGAGAAAUAAGGAGGUCGAGACCUCUGAUGCUAGUAUACGUAGAAUAGGGAUCGGCUAACUCCGUGCCAGCAGCCGCGGUAAUACGGAGGAUCCGAGCGUUAUCCGGAUUUAUUGGGUUUAAAGGGUGCGUAGGCGGGCUGUUAAGUCAGCGGUGAAAGUUUGCGGCUCAACCGUAAAAUUGCCGUUGAAACUGGCGGUCUUGAGUGUAAACGAGGUAAGCGGAAUGUGACGUGUAGCGGUGAAAUGCUUAGAUAUGUCCCAGAACUCCGAUUGCGAAGGCAGCUUACCAGCAUACAACUGACGCUGAGGCACGAAAGCGUGGGUAUCAAACAGGAUUAGAUACCCUGGUA